AGACUUCUGCAGGAAGAAAUAGCCUCUCCCGAGGCCGAAACUCCUUAGGGUUUAUUUUGUAAUUAGGUCAAAUUAUGUGGGUGACGAAACAGCCAGACCUCCUUCCAGGUCUCCCUCUACUCAGUCGGCAGAAUUGUUAUUUUGCGUACUGCCUGCAUCCUAAUUUUCAGGAGACAACUAUGAGAUUAAAUGUGAUUUUCCUCAUAGCACUAAACUAAUUUUAUUGUAGCAGCUUCGGGUUAAAACACAAAGCAUGAGCUGUCACAUUUUACAGUGGCAACACAGAAUUUUGGAGCCAGAUUUGGAGGCCAAUCACGGCAACCCCUCGCUGUGGAUAUUUAAUUUAUAAAAGGAGUUGGCGAAGGAAACAGAAGCAAAAAGUUGUGGGGAAGGCAAACGGUGGAGAAGGCAGCGCCGCAGCACAGGCCACUGUUUUGACCCGUCACCUUGCAGGAGGAAGGUGCUGGGCCUGGGUUCCGCUCAGGCGAAACUGACCAGAGGCCACAGGUGACCGGUUCCAAAGCCUCCUCCUGAGCCACCCUUCAAAUAUUUAUCACAUGUGUACGUAUGUUUGCUCGGAUUGGGAUAAGUCGCGAUUUGGGGAUUUUGGAAGCUGAGCCCGAGCAUCACCUGAGAGCUUGUCUGAUUUGGGCUGGGUUCUGGAGCCAAGCACCCCGGAGGCCCCGGGAGAGGGCGAGGACGAGGGAGAGCAGGCGGGAGUGGACAGCCCGGUUGCUGGCUCUAAUAUCCCCGCACAAUUAUUUUGUGGACAUCCACUCCUUGCCUGCAUGGGAGAUAGGGCUAUAAGUGUAUGUUAUUUUUUAAUUACAAGGGGGGUAGAAAAAAUCCUGAUGAUGGGCUGGAAGGUGCCAUUGCAUUGUUAUUUUUUCCUUUCCCUUCGUUUGCUGAUUAUGUGAGCCGGGCUCCUUUGCUAGCCGAUGAUAAGCAGAAUUUCCAUGUUCUCUGCAUAAUUAAUCCAUCUCUGCCUCUCUUCAUGCCAACUCGCCCGUUAUCGCCGGCACAUGCCUGAAUUGCAAAAGAAUCCGCUCUUCAAUUGGAACUUAUUGAUAUUCUAAGAAAAAAAAAGAGAGAGAAGGGGGAAAAAACUGAAAAUCCUUAAGUUUAAGCCGCAGAUUUUUAAAUGGAUUAAUUUCGCUGCAAUCGCAGCCAUCUAAGGGGGAAGCAGGCAGAGCAAAUUGAAAGCGUCUCCAUGUUUGCAGAAUUGGGUCCAGAACGCUGAGAUGUACUGGCAUGGCUCUCUUUUAAAGUCAGGAAAUUACCAUUCAUUUACAUCACAUGAAAUACUUUUUUAUGCCAGAAAUAUUCAAGAGACGUUCUUUAAAUGCCUGCUAAUGCUUGAUAACAUUUCUAACUUUCAACGUUUUGCUAGACUUUGAUAUGACAUGAUAGGAAUGCCUUCCAGUAGAGGAUAUUAUAUCUGUUUAUCGCAUAUUAGAUUACAUCAUCUUUUUCUUAAUCACUGCCAAGUAGUCUUUAGACAAUGAGGUCUGUCAUUGGCUGUGCAGGAUUUUAUGUGCUGAUGGAAGUCAAGGUUAGUCGUUUAUUUUUCUGGUCUACCUAUGAAUGAAAUGUUUGUUUCUGUUUAAUUUUUCUCCUUCAAAUCCCAGAGACCUUGGACAAUGAUGAUAACACUGUAAUAAUCAUCAUAAUAAUUCCUCAGGAGUCAUUCUUUUGGCUAUUAUCUUAGGAUAAAUUCUGAUGUUUGAGUGACUUGACUCCUCAUUUUAACUUGGGAACAGUUACACGGGAAAUCUCCUGACUUAGACAAGGAUCAGUAGUUGGACUCUUCCUACGAAACAUGCAGUUCAAGAAUCACAAAGAGAGAAAGUUCCAGCUUCAGGAUUCUUGCGAUUUCCAAACAGAAUUCAUAAAUCUUGAUUAGUUGUUAAUGCUUCCUUGUUUUGAUCUUGAAAUAGAAUGCAUGUUAAUUUCCUGACUGGUGGCACAGAGCCCUGGCCGGGCCAGGCAUCUCCUGCCCACUCGGGUGAGCCGUAGCCGGCCUGGCUCCUGGCUGAGCGGCACAGAGCCUGCAGCUCCUGCCUGCGCCCGGGGCUCACACGCUCUCGGCUGCAAGGGGAGUGGGAAGAUCCACCGGGAAACGGAUGGGAACGUGGUUGUCAGAAAACAUUCACUGUGAAGUCUUCCCUGUACAUUUUGAAUCCAGUAGAACGUCAAAGGGGAAACAGUCUUAAUUUUUAAAAUACCAACUCAGUGGGAGGUACAUUUCCUAGAAAAAAUCAGACACAAGUGAGCCGUGCUAUGAUUUGGAGAGGCUUGUUUCAGUCACAGAACGGCAGUCUCCCUGACUGCCAGCCACCUUAGCACAGCUCACGGGCAGCAAGUGCAAGAUCUGAGCCGUCAGUGAGGACUGCAGUAUUCAAAGCGGUUUCUUUCCUCGGAAGUAAGGCAAAAUGAAUAAAGAGAAUCCCAGGCUCCUCGCUGUUGGACUGGAACCUGCGGGAACAGGGAGCAGGUGAGUGGAGGACCGGACAGGAGGAAGCGCGGGAAGAAAUGAGGAACCCAGGCUGCGCAGCACAACGGGAGGACAGCCGGCCAGCACCAACUUGAGAAUCAAACUCUUAUCGCAUGAAAGUGGGGGACACUUAAGAUCCAGACCAUAGCUAUGCGGCAGGAAACCUGACCGACUCUAAAGGAAGUAAAGAGACCUUAAAUAAUGGAUGGUUAGAUAGGCUGCAGUCUCCUGGACAUUCUGGAGCAACAAAGCCGGGCACUGUGGGGACAUCACUGUCUUUAACUGAUGGCUACGUAGCCAAUGAAGAGUAGUACUGAAUAAAGAGCUAGACUCUCACAGUUCUUGGUUGCCAUCAUUAGCAUCUUUGGGAAGCAGUGCCUCACACCCAGGACUUAAACAUGCAGAGGCCAUGGCCCGCCGGCUCUGAGGCAGAGACACCUGGUGGACGCCAGGGCGGAGAGAGCUGCUGAGUUCCUGGUGCCCAGAAAGCAGAGCAAGGCACAGUGCCAGAGAGGAACAGCAAGGAACCAGGAGCUGUACCAGGAGUCACCGCCCCAGGACCCAGCUGGACUCACACAGAGCUGAGCCUUACGGAUCUCCCGGGAGACUCGUGCGCCAAUCACAGUGGUUCACGUUAGGCUGUGACCACCGCAGUCCUCAAACAAACAAGGAAACUGUAAUGAUCCCAAGGGAAUAUGAUUGAUGAUAAAUUCCCAGACAUAAUUAUGUUUGUGACUAAAUAAUUGAAUUAACUUUUGGGGAAACUGGUAUAUGUUAAAUAUUAAAAUAUUAAUUUAGUAUUAGUCUUCUCACUACAAUUUACUGUUAGAAAUUAGAAUUUUAUAAUAUCCUGAAAUUA